CCGAGCCGCGAGCCUCGCUACCCGGUGUGCGCUCCGCCUGGAGAGCCACGGCCGCUCUCACGCCGGCGAGGGAUCUCGCCGCCCUCGCCCACCUGCGGCCGCGUGGCUCCGGGAGUUCGCCGUCUACCCGGGAUGACAACUCACUGCUCCCCGUCGGGAGAGUCCCUAGUGCGCACCGUAUACCGUCAAUUCCAGCUGACACCCCAACUCCGGCGUUUCAUUCUGUUAAACUCCGUAUACAGAUGAACAGCCCCAGCUUUCUCAGGACUGUCUUUGAUGGGCUUCUCUUUCCCUCGAGAUAAUUUAUAAAGGAUCAUGAGCAUUGAGGUGAAGAUUGGGGUGAAGUUUAUAUGUUACCCUUAUAUCAUCCUGGAAUUCAGUAAAUGCUCCUUGAAUGAGUGGAUACAUGAUAAAUGAGCGUGUAACGGUGAAAUAAACAUCAGAAGAUCUGGGUCCUGUUCCUUGUUUCAGCUUCCUAAACUUGUGCAUGGCCCUUGUUCUCCGCAAUCUUGCUCAGCGAAGAAGGGACCUUGAUACUUGGCCUGCUUACCCUUUACAGCUGUCACAUCCUGAAGUCAUAUUAUUCUGCUGCAAAUUCUCAUAUAUUUCAUACUCUGGCUUUUUUUUUUUUUUUUUUUUUUUUUUUGAGGUGUUGUUUCACUUAUUGCCCAGGCUGGAGUGCAAUGGCACGAUCUGGGCCCACUGCAACCUACGCCUCCCGGGUUCAAGCGAUUCUUCUGUCUCAGCCUCCCCAGCAGCUGGGAUGCCUCAGCCUCCGGAGCAGCUGGGAUUACAGGCGCGCGCCACCACGCCCGGCUAAUUUUUGUAUUUUUAGUAGAGAUGGGGUUUCACCAAGUUGGCCAGGCUGGUCUCGAACUCCUGACCUCGUGAUCCACCUUCCUCGGCCUCCCAAAGUGCUGGGAUUACAGGUGUGAGCCACCGCGCCCGGCCCAUACUCAGGCUUUUUAAACUUUUAUCAAACUACCCUACUUUCUUUCCUUUCUUUCUUUAUCUUUUUCUUCUUUUUAAAUAGAGGCAGGGUCUCAGUAUGCUGCCGAGGCUGGUCUUUAAUUCCUGGGUUUAAACUAUUCUCCCUUUUUAUGCCUCCAAAGUGCUGGGAUUACAGGCAGGAAACACGGCCCGGCCUACUCUCUACUUUAUAGCACAUAAGAUAAUAGGAGGCCAGGCGCAGUGGCUCACGCCCGUAAUCCCAAAGCUUUGGGAGGCCGAGGCGGGGGGAUCACUUGAAGUCAGGAAUUGGAGACCAGCCUGGCCAACGUGGUGAAACCCCUGUCUCUACUAAAAAUACAAAAAUUAGCCCGGCGCGGUGGCGGACGCCUGUAGUGCCGGCUAAGGCAGGAGAAUCGCUUGAACCCGGAAAGCGG
rnacentral:lncRNA from 1 species